rnacentral:rRNA from 1 species
CCUACGGGAGGCAGCAGUGGGGAAUAUUGCGCAAUGGGCGAAAGCCUGACGCAGCGACGCCGCGUGAGGGAUGAAGGUCUUCGGAUUGUAAACCUCUUUCAGCAGGGACGAAGCGAAAGUGACGGUACCUGAAGAAGAAGCACCGGCUAACUACGUGCCAGCAGCCGCGGUAAUACGUAGGGUGCAAGCGUUGUCCGGAUUUAUUGGGCGUAAAGAGCUCGUAGGCGGUUAGACACGUCGGAUGUGAAAACUGGGGGCUCAACCCCCAGCCUGCAUUCGAUACGGUCUGACUAGAGUGUGGUAGGGGUAACUGGAAUUCCUGGUGUAGCGGUGAAAUGCGCAGAUAUCAGGAGGAACACCGAUGGCGAAGGCAGGUUACUGGGCCACCACUGACGCUGAGGAGCGAAAGCGUGGGGAGCAAACAGGAUUAGAUACCCUGGUAGUCCACGCCGUAAACGGUGGGCGCUAGAUGUGGGGACCAUUCCAUGGUUUCUGCGUCGCAGCUAACGCAUUAAGCGCCCCGCCUGGGGAGUACGGUCGCAAGCUAAAACUCAAAGAGUAGUGCGNGNGAGAGCGACGACGACGACGAGGAGGAGAGG